ACGGGAGGCAGCAGUGGGGAAUCUUCCGCAAUGGGCGCAAGCCUGACGGAGCAACGCCGCGUGAAUGAAGAAGGUCUUCGGAUCGUAAAGUUCUGUUGAGAGGGACGAGAGAUAACUUCAGGAAAUGGGAGUUAGAGGACGGUACCUUUCGAGGAAGCCACGGCUAACUACGUGCCAGCAGCCGCGGUAAUACGUAGGUGGCGAGCGUUGUCCGGAAUUAUUGGGCGUAAAGGGAGCGCAGGUGGGAAAGUAAGUCAGUCUUAAAAGUGCGGGGCUCAACCCCGUGAUGGGAUUGAAACUACUUUUCUUGAGUGCAGGAGAGGAAAGCGGAAUUCCUAGUGUAGCGGUGAAAUGCGUAGAUAUCAGGAGGAACACCGGUGGCGAAGGCGACUUUCUGGACUGUAACUGACACUGAGGUACGAAAGCGUGGGGAGCAAACAGGAUUAGAUACCCGGUA
rnacentral:rRNA from 1 species